GGACUGCAGUCGAGCGGAGAUUUGAAAAGCUUGCUUUUCAAAACUUAGCGGCGGACGGGUGAGUAACACGUGGGCAACCUGCCCUUGAGACGGGGAUAACUCCGGGAAACCGGAGCUAAUACCGGAUAACACAUAUCUUCGCAUGAGGAUAUGUUAGAAGGUGGCUUUUAGCUACCACUCAAGGAUGGGCCCGCGGCGCAUUAGCUAGUUGGUGAGGUAACGGCUCACCAAGGCGACGAUGCGUAGCCGACCUGAGAGGGUGAUCGGCCACACUGGGACUGAGACACGGCCCAGACUCCUACGGGAGGCAGCAGUAGGGAAUCUUCCGCAAUGGACGAAAGUCUGACGGAGCAACGCCGCGUGAGUGAUGAAGGUUUUCGGAUCGUAAAGCUCUGUUGUUAGGGAAGAACAAGUACCUGUUGAAUAAGCAGGUACCUUGACGGUACCUAACCAGAAAGCCACGGCUAACUACGUGCCAGCAGCCGCGGUAAUACGUAGGUGGCAAGCGUUGUCCGGAAUUAUUGGGCGUAAAGCGCGCGCAGGCGGUUCCUUAAGUCUGAUGUGAAAGCCCACGGCUCAACCGUGGAGGGUCAUUGGAAACUGGGGAACUUGAGUGCAGAAGAGGAGAGCGGAAUUCCACGUGUAGCGGUGAAAUGCGUAGAGAUGUGGAGGAACACCAGUGGCGAAGGCGGCUCUCUGGUCUGUAACUGACGCUGAGGCGCGAAAGCGUGGGGAGCGAACAGGAUUAGAUACCCUGGUAGUCCACGCCGUAAACGAUGAGUGCUAAGUGUUAGAGGGUUUCCGCCCUUUAGUGCUGCAGCAAACGCAUUAAGCACUCCGCCUGGGGAGUACGGUCGCAAGACUGAAACUCAAAGGAAUUGACGGGGACCCGCACAAGCGGGGAGCAUGUGGUUUAAUUCGAAGCAACGCGAAAACCUUACCCUUGACUCCUCUGCUACUUCUAGAGAUAGAACCCUUCGGGGACAGAGUGACG
rnacentral:rRNA from 1 species